UGCAGUCGAGCGGACAGAAGGGAGCUUGCUCCCGGAUGUUAGCGGCGGACGGGUGAGUAACACGUGGGUAACCUGCCUGUAAGACUGGGAUAACUCCGGGAAACCGGAGCUAAUACCGGAUAGUUCCUUGAACCGCAUGGUUCAAGGAUGAAAGACGGUUUCGGCUGUCACUUACAGAUGGACCCGCGGCGCAUUAGCUAGUUGGUGAGGUAACGGCUCACCAAGGCGACGAUGCGUAGCCGACCUGAGAGGGUGAUCGGCCACACUGGGACUGAGACACGGCCCAGACUCCUACGGGAGGCAGCAGUAGGGAAUCUUCCGCAAUGGACGAAAGUCUGACGGAGCAACGCCGCGUGAGUGAUGAAGGUUUUCGGAUCGUAAAGCUCUGUUGUUAGGGAAGAACAAGUGCAAGAGUAACUGCUUGCACCUUGACGGUACCUAACCAGAAAGCCACGGCUAACUACGUGCCAGCAGCCGCGGUAAUACGUAGGUGGCAAGCGUUGUCCGGAAUUAUUGGGCGUAAAGGGCUCGCAGGCGGUUUCUUAAGUCUGAUGUGAAAGCCCCCGGCUCAACCGGGGAGGGUCAUUGGAAACUGGGAAACUUGAGUGCAGAAGAGGAGAGUGGAAUUCCACGUGUAGCGGUGAAAUGCGUAGAGAUGUGGAGGAACACCAGUGGCGAAGGCGACUCUCUGGUCUGUAACUGACGCUGAGGAGCGAAAGCGUGGGGAGCGAACAGGAUUAGAUACCCUGGUAGUCCACGCCGUAAACGAUGAGUGCUAAGUGUUAGGGGUUUCCGCCCCUUAGUGCUGCAGCUAACGCAUUAAGCACUCCGCCUGGGGAGUACGGUCGCAAGACUGAAACUCAAGGAAUUGACGGGGGC
rnacentral:rRNA from 1 species